UAGGGAAUCUUCCGCAAUGGACGCAAGUCUGACGGAGCAACGCCGCGUGAGUGAAGAAGGAUUUCGGUUCGUAAAACUCUGUUGUUAGAGAAGAACAGCGCAUAGAGUAACUGUUAUGCGUGUGACGGUAUCUAACCAGAAAGCCACGGCUAACUACGUGCCAGCAGCCGCGGUAAUACGUAGGUGGCAAGCGUUGUCCGGAUUUAUUGGGCGUAAAGCGAGCGCAGGCGGUCAAUUAAGUCUGAUGUGAAAGCCCCCGGCUCAACCGGGGAGGGUCAUUGGAAACUGGUUGACUUGAGUGCAGAAGAGGAGAGUGGAUUUCCAUGUGUAGCGGUGAAAUGCGUAGAUAUAUGGAGGAAAACCAGUGGCGAAGGCGACUCUCUGGUCUGUAACUGACGCUGAGGCUCGAAAGCGUGGGUAGCAAACAGG
rnacentral:rRNA from 1 species